rnacentral:rRNA from 1 species
UACGUAGGGUGCGAGCGUUGUCCGGAAUUAUUGGGCGUAAAGGGCUCGUAGGCGGUCUGUUGCGUCGGGAGUGAAAACUCAGGGCUUAACCCUGAGCCUGCUUCCGAUACGGGCAGACUAGAGGUAUGCAGGGGAGAACGGAAUUCCUGGUGUAGCGGUGAAAUGCGCAGAUAUCCGGAGGAACACCGGUGGCGAAGGCGGCUUCCUGGACCGACACUGACGCUGAGGCGCGAAAGCUAGGGGAGCAAACGGG